ACUCCUACGGGAGGCAGCAGGUAGGGAAUCUUCCACAAUGGGACGAAAGUCUGAUGGAGCAACGCCGCGUGAACGAUGAAGGCUUUCGGGUCGUAAAGUUCUGUUGUAAGGGAAGAACAAGUGCCGCAGGCAAUGGCGGCACCUUGACGGUACCUUGCGAGAAAGCCACGGCUAACUACGUGCCAGCAGCCGCGGUAAUACGUAGGUGGCAAGCGUUGUCCGGAAUUAUUGGGCGUAAAGCGCGCGCAGGCGGCCUCUUAAGUCUGAUGUGAAAGCCCCGGCUCAACCGGGGGAGGGCCAUUGGAAACUGGGAGGCUUGAGUAUAGGAGAGAAGAGUGGAAUUCCACGUGUAGCGGUGAAAUGCGUAGAGAUGUGGAGGAACACCAGUGGCGAAGGCGACUCUUUGGCCUAUAACUGACGCUGAGGCGCGAAAGCGUGGGGAGCAAACA
rnacentral:rRNA from 1 species